UCUUGGGGUCCUCUCACCAUGGCUUGGCCUCUUGCUUGCCUCCUGCUGCUCACCUUCUGCUCAGGCUCCCUCUCCCAGCUGGAGCUGACUCAGCCUCCCUCUGUCUCUGCAUCCCCAGGGAGCACAGCCAGACUCACCUGCACCCUGAACAGUGGGUACAGUAAUAGAGGUGUUGCUUGGCACCAGAUGAGCCCUGGAAAGGCCCCUCGCUACCUCAUGUCAGUUAACAUUGAUGGAAAUAUAGGCAGAGCCGAUGGAAUCCCUGAGCGCUUCUCUGGCUCCAGUUUUGGGGCUGAUCGAUUCCUGUCCAUCAGCAACAUCCAGCCUGAGGAUGAAGCCAAUUAUUACUGUGCGGCAGGGUUUUCCUUCACUAAGAGCUAUAUAUCUGUCUGCACAGUGAUGCAUUCAGUGAGGAAGUGGGACAAAAACCUCUUUGUCAGCCCAGCUGUGGCUUCCUGGCUGGCCCCAGGCUUCUGA